UACGGGGGGGGCAAGCGUUGUUCGGAAUUACUGGGCGUAAAGGGCUCGUAGGUGGCCAAUUAAGUCAGACGUGAAAUCCCCAGGCUCAACCUGGGAACUGCGUCUGAUACUGGUUGGCUUGAAUUCGGGAGAGGGAUGCAGAAUUCCAGGUGUAGCGGUGAAAUGCGUAGAUAUCUGGAGGAAUACCGGUGGCGAAGGCGGCAUCCUGGACCGACAUUGACGCUGAGGAGCGAAAGCGUGGGGAGCAAACAGG
rnacentral:rRNA from 1 species